CCGCCAGUAUUCCGGACUGGGACAGGCGGUUGUGCUAGUUAGUAGCAUCUCUGAGGACACAAAACCAUGGCGGAGAAUCUGUGCGUUGUUAUGCUCCUCUUAUGUGGGACUAUAAUCCCCUUCGUGACCGCUGAUGACUGUGAGGGCUACGUAGAUGCCAAGAGCCAAUACCAUUACAAGCAGUACUGCGGUGCAUAUGUGGGGUGCUGUGGAACGUGUGACAAUAGAUACUGCUGCAGCAAUGUCUACGGACAGAGGAAGUUGGAACAGGACAGCUGUUAUUUAAGUAGCAGUAGCAGCAGCAGUAGCAGUAGCACGUUCACCAUCUGGCCGUUCAUAGCAAUACCUGUCACCUUCGUGAUCAUUUUCAUCUCUUGCUGCGUGUGUCCCUGCUGCUGCUUGUACAACAUGUGCAGGAAGCCCAGACCGGUGAUAGCCACGACCUCUCACACCACAGUGGUGAACACCCAGUUCACCCAGCAACCCCAGCAGCCCGUCCAGAUCUACCAGGGUGGCCCCCAGUACCCAGCCUACCAGCCCGUACCCGUCCAGCCUGGGUAUGGGGCUCAGCCUCAACCCGGCUACGGAGGAGGGCAGCCCAUGCCCACAGCACCGGGUAACCAGGGACAGCCCUUCCAGCCAGGACCACCCCCUCCCUACCAAGAGUCUGGUCCAGCCUAUCCGCCUGCUAUCCCAGUGCCUUAUAGUCAGGCUGGGUUCAGUCCAGGACAGCCAUCAUACCCCUUCCAGCCUCCAGCUCAGCCCAGCUACCCAGCCCAGCAUCCCGGCUACCCAGCCCAGCAACCAGCCUACCCGGCCCAGGCUGGCGCGCCUCCCGUCCAGCCUGACUUCCUCUCUGCUCAGCCUGCCUACAACCCUGCCUUCGUGGACUCCCAACCUCCGAAGACUUGCUACUGAAUCAAUUCUCCAUCACUGUCCGUCUACCCCAGGUCCCCCCCCCGUUCCCCCGUCUCCCUCCCGUUCCCCCGUCUACCCCAGGUCUCCCCCCCGUUCCCCACCACCCCACACAUUCCAAACAUGAUCUAUUCGCUGAGCUUCUAGAGCUCACCUGGGAGAGAACUGAACUGGUUGCAUCCCUAACAGCACCCUAUUCUCUCUAUGUAGUGCACUAUCCUGGUCAAAAGUAGUGCACUACAUAGGGAAUAGGGUGGUGUUUGGGAUGCAUCCUACACCUUGUUUAGGACCAGGUUUAUUAUUACAGUCUAAAACAGCAAAAGGGAAUCAUGUAUUUCUGUGCCUCGGUCUUCAUUGUGCAACCCAAACUGUGGUUAAAAUCACUUUAAAACAUUUUGCACUGUAGUUGAAUGACGUAGAGUAGAAGACAGCCAAGAAUCAAAAUGUCUGAAUCCUCAUUCACACAAUUAUGAAAUAUAUCUAAAUCUAGUUUAGUGGUAAAAUGUAUGUUCUAUUAAAAUGUCAAGCUAUCCUGUCUCGUGACAGAAACUAGAAACCAUUGUGCCUUUUUUUUUUUAACAUAAAUUCUUUGUCUAACCAAAUUAUAAAACCGUCAGUGUUUUUUAGACAUUUUAAAGUAGUGUCUAUGUCCCCAUGAACUCAAAAGUAGUGCCCUAUGUAGGGAAUAGGGCGCCAUUUUGGACGUAAACCGUUCCAAGAAUGUUAAACCUCCACAAUAUGCCUUGUUUUUCCACUUAUGCUGUAAAAUCAUUCUGUAGCAAGCCUUGCAGGUGAACCAAGCUGAAUGAAACGCUACCAGCCUUAAAAUGAAAUGUAACGCUUUUUAAAAUGUUUAUCUGAGUGACCUCUUCUCUGUUGAUAAUGUUCCUGUCUGCAUUCCAAAUAGCCCCCCUAUUCCAUUACAUUUUUUUACAUUUUAGUCAUUUUAGCAGACGCUCUUAUCCAGAGCGACUUACAGUAGUGAAUACAUAAAUUUCAUACUUUUUUUUUUUCUUUCUGUGCUGGCCCCCCCGUGGGAAUCGAACCCACGACCCAUGCUCUACCAACUGAGCUACAGGGAAGGUCCUAUGGGCCCUGGUCAAAAGCAGUGCACUAUUUUGGGAGCCAGCCCUGGUUUUCCACGCUGUGAAGUCAGGGUCUGGAAAAGGUCAGAUAAAAAUAUGCUGUGUAGAACAUACGUGUUGGAGUAAAGAAUCAUGUCGGCUGCUAUUGGUUGUAUUUCUGUCUGCGUUCAGUAUGCUGUUGCACCCCUUUUACACGACCCUCGUUGUUAGAACUUGUUGCCCAGGGUUGUUUUGUCUGCGUCACACGUGUUUCUAUCCAUGUCAAGGGUAUUCAACUCUGACCCUACGAGGGACGGAGCCUGCUGGUUUUCUGUUCUUACCUGAUCAUUAAAUUGGGCCCCACCUGCUGUCCCCAGGUCUAAAUCAGGCCCUGAUUAGAGAGGGGAAUCACCCACCUGGUGUCCCCAGGUCUAAAUCAGGCCCUGAUUAGAGGGGAAUCACCCACCUGGUGUCCCAGGUCUAAAUCAGUCCCUGAUUAGAGGGGGAAUAACCCACCUGGUGUCCCCAGGUCUAAAUCAGUCCCUGAUUAGAGAGGGGAAUCACCCACCUGCUGUCCCCAGGUCUAA